rnacentral:rRNA from 1 species
AUUGAACGCUGGCGGCAGGCCUAACACAUGCAAGUCGAGCGGAUGAAUGGAGCUUGCUCCUGGAUUCAGCGGCAGACGGGUGAGUAAUGCCUAGGAAUCUGCCUGGUAGUGGGGGAUAACGUCCGGAAACGGGCGCUAAUACCGCAUACGUCCUUAUGUAGAAAGUGGGGGAUCUUCGGACCUCACGCUAUCAGAUGAGCAUAGGUCGGAUUAGCUAGUUGGUGGGGUAAAUGCCUACCAAGGCGACGAUCCGUAACUGGUCUGAGAGGAUGAUCAGUCACACUGGAAGUGAGACACGGCACAGACUCCUACGGGAGGACGCAGUGGGGAAUAUUGGACGAUGGGCGAAAGGCUGAUCCAGCAAUGCCGCGUGUGUGCAGAAGGUCUUCGGAUUGUAAAGCAAUUUAAGUUGGGAGGAAGGGCAGUAAGUUAAUACCUUGCUGUUUUGACGUUACCAACAGAAUAAGCUCCGGCUAACUUCGUG